rnacentral:misc_RNA from 1 species
AGCAGCCGCGGUAAUUCCAGCUCCAAUAGCGUAUAUUAAAGUUGUUGCAGUUAAAAAGCUCGUAGUUGAAUUUCGGGACCAAUUUGUUGGUCGUGCCUCGGUACGUACUGGUAUUAUUGGUUUCUCCCUUCUGAAGAACCUCGAUGCCAUUAAUUUGGUGUCGUGGGGAAUCAGGACUGUUACUUUGAAAAAAUUAGAGUGUUUAAAGCAAGCAUACGCUUGAAUACAUUAGCAUGGAAUAAUGAAAUAGGACGUUUGAUUCUAUUUUGUUGGUUUCUAGGAUCGACGUAAUGAUUAAUAGGGAUAGUUGGGGGCAUUAGUAUUCAAUUGUCAGAGGUGAAAUUCUUGGAUUUAUUGAAGACUAACUACUGCGAAAGCAUUUGCCAAGGAUGUUUUCAUUAAUCAAGAACGAAAGUUAGGGGAUCGAAGACGAUCAGAUACUGUCGUAGUCUUAACCAUGAACUAUGCCGACUAGGGAUCGGAUGAUGUUAAUUUUUUAAUGACUCAUUCGGCGCCUUAC